AUACGUAGGGAGCGAGCGUUGUCCGGAAUUACUGGGUGUAAAGGGAGCGUAGGCGGGAGUGCAAGUCAGAUGUGAAAUACAUGGGCUCAACCCAUGGGCUGCAUUUGAAACUGCAUUUCUUGAGUGAAGUAGAGGUAAGCGGAAUUCCUGGCGAAGCGGUUAAAUGCGUAGAUAUCAGGAGGAACACCGGUGGCGAAGGCGGCUUACUGGGCUUUUACUGACGCUGAGGCUCGAAAGCGUGGGGAACAAACAGGAUUAGAUACCCUGGUAGUCCACGCUGUAAACGAUGAUUACUAGGUGUGGGGGGACUGACCCCUUCCGUGCCGCAGUUAACACAAUAAGUAAUCCACCUGGGGAGUACGGCCGCAAGGUUGAAACUCAAAUGAAUUGACGGGG
rnacentral:rRNA from 1 species